CGGGGUGCAGCAGGCGCGAAAACUUUGCACUACACGAAAGUGUGACAGGGCUAUCCCGAGUGCCAUCCGCUGAGGAAGGCUUUUACCCAGUCUAGAACGCUGGGGGAAUAAGGAGAGGGCAAGUCUGGUGUCAGCCGCCGCGGUAAUACCAGCUCUCCGAGUGGUGUGGAUGUUUAUUGGGCCUAAAGCAUCCGUAGCUGGCUAAGUUAGUCCCUUGUUAAAUCCACCGAAUUAAUCGUUGGAUUGCGGGGGAUACUGCUUGGCUAGGGGACGAGAGAGGCAGACGGUAUUUCCGGGGUAGGGGUGAAAUCCUAUAAUCCCGGGAAGACCACCAGUGGCGAAGGCUGUCUGCUAGAACGCGCCCGACGGUGAGGGAUGAAAGCUGGGGGAGCGAACCGGAUUAGAUACCCGGGUAGUCCCAGCUGUAAACGAUGCAGGCUAGGUGUUUGGACGGCCACGUGCCGUUCUAGUGCCGCAGGGAAGCUGUUAAGCCUGCCGCCUGGGGAGUACGAUCGCAAGAUUGAAACUUAAAGGAAUUGGCGGGGGAGCAC
rnacentral:rRNA from 1 species